GGAAACACAAUGGAAAACUCUAAAGCCA
rnacentral:piRNA from 1 species